AAAUGUUUUAAUGUUUAUCUGGAAUGGCUACGUGCAAGUCAGCCUUUAGCUCUGUUCCCUGAAAAUUAUAAAACUACACAAUUGGAUAAUAAACUUUGUCAGUCCACUAGAGGCUGUCCCUGAGUGUCCUUUCCAGAGUGCGGUUCUCUGAGCCUUAUGGAUGGCGCCCAACGUGGGGCUCGAAGCAGCAGACUGAUUUUGAAGAAGGGCCGCACUCCUGCAGAAGCGAGAUGAUGGAACCGAGCAGUGGGUCCCACUCAAAAGAGUGAGAAGACGGACAGACCUUGCUCCACACCCCCUGAUUGGUCACAGCACUAAAACAGAAAUUGCAACAGAUGCCUUCCUCCUUAUGACAACCUAUCCUGAAAGAAAAAAUCAUCUGUGCCAGGGAUGGACUGGUCCACCUGUAGAGGAAGGUUUAAAGAAGUUUCUGUUCACGCCAACAUGACUUUGUUGAUUGGGGGCCUCAUGGACUCUUUGUGAAUUGCUCAGAAUCACAGAAAAUAAUCACACCUGCCAAUGGUAUAAUGUUUCAGCACCACAUUUUAACAGAACACAAACAGGACUCUAGCAUCAACGCGAUGAACUUUUGAACUGGUACAAUGAAUGAUACACCUCCCAGACCCCGGAUAAUCAGUCCAGUCCUGGGGCCUGAACACUGGCAUCUUUGGAAAACUCCUGCUGGCUUGUCCUGGUUUAGAGACUGGAUUCUGAACGUUAUGUGCUCGAGCCACCGCCGCCCAAAAAGCGAGAGUGAAAAUGGCUGCAGCAGUCCUUGCUCUUGAGGAAAAAGGGAGGAAACGUGGAGGAGCUGGAAGGCUUUGAGCAAAUACUGAAACUGAAAAUGUAUUUGCUCCACUCAUGACGAAGGUUGGAAGCUGGGACGAGCAUAAUAAACGGUUAUGAGCGUUCACUGAGUGCCCAAGGCUAGGAAAGGAUGACGAAGGGUCAAUACGCCCGGCCUGGAGGCGUUCGAAGGCUUCCUUCUGAUCACCUGUUUCUGAGAGCAAGGACUGUUGUUUCAUGAUAAGACUCCCUUUAGAGUUUCGCCAAAGCUAUGUUAUGGCUUGGGCGGUGGGAACUGUAUUUUAUGCUUGAAUGUUUUAAUGUUUAUCUGGAAUGGCUACGUGCAAGUCAGCCUUAUGCUCUAUUCCCUGAAAAUUAUAAA